rnacentral:rRNA from 1 species
AUUGAACGCUGGCGGCAGGCCUAACACAUGCAAGUCGAACGGUAACAGGAAGCAGCUUGCUGCUUUGCUGACGAGUGGCGGACGGGUGAGUAAUGUCUGGGAAACUGCCUGAUGGAGGGGGAUAACUACUGGAAACGGUAGCUAAUACCGCAUAACGUCGCAAGACCAAAGAGGGGGACCUUCGGGCCUCUUGCCAUCGGAUGUGCCCAGAUGGGAUUAGCUAGUAGGUGGGGUAACGGCUCACCUAGGCGACGAUCCCUAGCUGGUCUGAGAGGAUGACCAGCCACACUGGAACUGAGACACGGUCCAGACUUCUACGGGAGGCAGCAGUGGGGAAUAUUGCACAAUGGGCGCAAGCCUGAUGCAGCCAUGCCGCGUGUAUGAAGAAGGCCUUCGGGUUAUAAAGUACUUUCAGCGGGGAGGAAGGGAGUAAAGUUAAUACCUUUGCUCAUUGACGUUACCCGCAGAAGAAGCACCGGCUAACUCCGUG